rnacentral:rRNA from 1 species
CGGGGAGUUAAACUAGGAUUAGAUACCCUAUUAUUUUGAGUGUUAAUGUUUUUACCUGAGUAGUAUUAGUUGUGUUCUUGAAACUUAAAGAAUUUGGCGGUAUCCUACUCCGUUCAGAGGAAUCUGUCUCGUUAUCGAUAGUCCGCGUUGGACCUUACUUGGGGUUAAUUUUGGUUUGUAUACCGCCGUUUAUUGAUUAUCUUUUUAGAGUUUCUGAAUUUUCUGGUUUCUUUAAUUUGAUUUAUUGCAGGUCAAGGUGCAGCUUUUUCUAAGUGUUAAUGAUGGAUUACAGUGUUAUGUGUUGUUUGGAUUGUUUAUUUGAAUAUUGGCAUGAAAUUGGAUUUGGUUGUAAUGUUUUGUAGAUUGUUUUCAUGAUAGUUGGUUCUAGGAUAUGUACACAUCGCCCGUUCGCUUCUUCCUAUAC